ACCUGGUGAUGUGGGCAUUUUCGGAGCAGGUCCCUAAAAUGUUCCUAAGUCUCGACAAAGAGUUCCCCAUCCAUCUGUGAGAAACUUGGGAUGACUCUCCUAAGCU